rnacentral:rRNA from 1 species
UACGUAGGGUCCGAGCGUUGUUCGGAAUUACUGGGCGUAAAGGGCUCGUAGGCGGCCAACUAAGUCGGACGUGAAAUCCCUCGGCUUAACCGGGGAACUGCGUCCGAUACUGGAUGGCUUGAGUUUGGGAGAGGGAUGCGGAAUUCCAGGUGUAGCGGUGAAAUGCGCAGAUAUCAGGAGGAACACCGAUGGCGAAGGCAGGUCUCUGGGCCACUACUGACGCUGAGAAGCGAAAGCAUGGGGAGCGAACAGG